CUCCGGUUGAUCCUGCCGGACCCGACUGCUAUCAGAGUGGGACUAAGCCAUGCGAGUCAACAUAGCAAUAUGUGGCAUAUGGCUCAGUAACACGUAGUCAACAUGCCCAGGGGACGUGGAUAACCUCGGGAAACUGAGGAUAAACCGCGAUAGGUCAUCACUUCUGGAAUGGGUAAUGACUUAAAUCUAUAUGGCCCCUGGAUUGGACUGCGGCCGAUCAGGCUGUUGGUGAGGUAAUGGCCCACCAAACCUGUAACCGGUACGGGCUCUGAGAGGAGGAGCCCGGAGAUGGGCACUGAGACAAGGGCCCAGGCCCUAUGGGGCGCAGCAGGCGCGAAACCUCUGCAAUAGGCGAAAGCUUGACAGGGUUACUCUGAGUGAUUUCCGUUAAGGAGAUCUUUUGGCACCUCUAAAAAUGGUGCAGAAUAAGGGGUGGGCAAGUCUGGUGUCAGCCGCCGCGGUAAUACCAGCACCCCGAGUGGUCGGGACGUUUAUUGGGCCUAAAGCAUCCGUAGCCGGUUCUACAAGUCUUCCGUUAAAUCCACCUGCUUAACAGAUGGGCUGCGGAAGAUACUAUAGAGCUAGGAGGCGGGAGAGGCAAGCGGUACUCGAUGGGUAGGGGUAAAGUCCGUUGAUCCAUUGAAGACCACCAGUGGCGAAGGCGGCUUGCCAGAACGCGCUCGACGGUGAGGGAUGAAAGCUGGGGGAGCAAACCGGAUUAGAUACCCGGGUAGUCCCAGCUGUAAACGAUGCAGACUCGGUGAUGAGUUGGCUUAUUGCUAACUCAGUGCCGCAGGGAAGCCGUUAAGUUUGCCGCCUGGGGAGUACGGUCGCAAGACUGAAACUUAAAGGAAUUGGCGGGGGAGCA
rnacentral:rRNA from 1 species